rnacentral:rRNA from 1 species
AGCGAACGCUGGCGGCAGGCCUAACACAUGCAAGUCGAACGAACCUUUCGGGGUUAGUGGCGGACGGGUGAGUAACACGUGGGAACGUGCCUUUAGGUUCGGAAUAACUCAGGGAAACUUGUGCUAAUACCGAAUGUGCCCUUCGGGGGAAAGAUUAAUCGCCUUUAGAGCGGCCCGCGUCUGAUUAGCUAGUUGGUUGAGGUAAUGGCUCACCAAGGCGACGAUCAGUAGCUGGUCUGAGAGGAUGAUCAGCCACAUUGGGACUGAGACACGGCCCAAACUCCUACGGGAGGCAGCAGUGGGGAAUCUUGCGCAAUGGGCGAAAGCCUGACGCAGCCAUGCCGCGUGAAUGAUGAAGGUCUUAGGAUUGUAAAAUUCUUUCACCGGGGACGAUAAUGACGGUACCCGGAGAAGAGGCCCCGGCUAACUUCGAG